rnacentral:misc_RNA from 1 species
UGUCGCAACGACGAGGUCAGAAAUAGGUAGAAUCUGCAAUGAGAAUCGAGACAAGGGGCGUGUUAACGUUCCUCCAAUUGAAACGAAGCUUCUACCUAGCAGUGACUUUGUUCGACGUUGCGCCUUAAUUGGCUUCCGAAGUACAUCGUCAGAUAAUGUCUACAACGUCGGAAGGGACGUGGAACUCGACGGUGGUAGACGAGGAUUCGGUUCGAGGCGACGCGAGGAACGCGCAUCGUUGAAACACGGGAGAGCACGUAUCUGCGUUUCACACUCGGCUGACCCUGAUGUCUGAUUCUGCAAGCGCCUGCGACUGACGUCUAUCCCAACGACAGGUAACUUCUGUCGACUAGAUUCCACGAUGAAACGAGUACGCUCUCUGGUAGAGCAUGUUUUGUUACUUUGAAGAGGAAAUCGAUGCCGAGGAA